GGGGAAAUAUGGUUGCAAAGCUGAAACUUAAAGGAAUUGACGGAAGGGCAUCACCAGGAGCGGAGCAUGCGGCUUAAGUUGACUCAACACGGGAAAACUCACCCGUUCCGAGCACUGUGAGGAUUGACAGAUCAGGAGCCCUUUCUUGAUUCAGUGGGUAGUGGUGCAUGACCGUUCUUAGUUGGUGGAGCGAUUUGUCUGGCUAAUUCCGAUAACGGACGAGACUCUGGCCUACUAACUAGCGGCGGUAUUCACGUCUCUCGCGCGACGCCAUGCCUACGUGUGAGCUGAGCACAGUCGGCGUUCGCGCGUGCGCUCCGCGGAGCACCUGGAGUGCCGGCGGCCGCUUCACAGAGGGACCAGCGACACCUUCGCAAGGCGCACGAGAAAGAGCAAUAACAGGUCCGUGAUGCCCUUAGAUGUACGGAGCUGCACGCGUGCUACACUGACGGCGUCAGCGUGCGUUCAAGCCCGGCUUGGCAAGGCCGGGAAAUCGGCUGAAACGUUCUCGUGACUGGGACAGGGAAUUGCAAUUAUUUCCCUCGUACGGGGAAUUCCCAUUAAGCGCGAGUAAUCAGCUUGCGUUGACUACGUCGCUGCCAUUUGUACCCACCGCCCGUCGCUAAUACCGAUUGGAUGAUUUAGUGAGGCCUUUGGACCGAUGCCGCCGGUGUUCGGCCCAGUGGUUGAACCACGGCGUCGGGCAGCUGGCCGAACCCAACCAUCUGGAGGAAGCAAAAGUCGUAACAAGGUUUCCGCAGGUGAACCUCCGGAAG
rnacentral:ncRNA from 1 species